AGCUGGGCUGGAAUAUCAAUUAUCUCACAUGGAAAAAUGAAAAACAGAAUAAAGAAUUAAAAGGAAGAAGAGGAUAAUGAUGAUGGCAACAUUGAAGGGAGGCAAGAAAGGAUUUCUACAUGCACUGUCAAUUUGAUUAAAAUGCUUCCUGGAUAAUCUCCUACCUGAUUUCAUCGCAUGAUCCAACUCACAGCCCAUAAUCAAACCAAGAAAUUGGCUACAAAAGAAUCUUUGGAAUGCCAGCUUAUGCACGGAAUGCCAACACAUGAUAAGUUACAAUUAGAAUGCUGUUUCUUCUUCAAGAUCCUUAUUCAUCAGAGUUCCUACUUCUGACUGCCAAGGUAAAGUCAGCAUCUUGUACGAUUUCCUUGAUAUCUAGCUCCCUAGACUAGCAUAUUUAAGUCCUGGAACUCAAUUCUACCAUUCUGGUAGUUCCUCGCAUACCUUUUUUGACAGAUUAAUUAUUACUAAAUUGGUUUAAUCUAUUUUACAGCAUUAUAGAAUAUUUUUUGGGGAUAGGGUUGUGAAACAUCACCUUCUGUUUCAUUGAUAGAACUACCGAGGACAACUAAUUGUUAGGUAUCUUACCUCCAGUACUACUCA